rnacentral:rRNA from 1 species
GACGAACCGUGCGAACGUUGUUCGGAAUUACUGGGCGUAAAGCGCACGUAGGCGGAUUUGUAAGUCAGGGGUGAAAUCCCGGGGCUCAACCUCGGAACUGCCUUUGAUACUGCAAAUCUCGAGUCCGGAAGAGGUGAGUGGAAUUCCUAGUGUAGAGGUGAAAUUCGUAGAUAUUAGGAAGAACACCAGUGGCGAAGGCGGCUCACUGGCCCGGUACUGACGCUGAGGUGCGAAAGCGUGGGGAGCAAACGGG